CAGUAGCCGCGGGAAUACGUAUGUCACAAGCGUUAUCCGGAUUUAUUGGGCGUAAAGCGCGUCUAGGUGGUUAUGUAAGUCUGAUGUGAAAAUGCAGGGCUCAACUCUGUAUUGCGUUGGAAACUGUGUAACUAGAGUACUGGAGAGGUAAGCGGAACUACAAGUGUAGAGGUGAAAUUCGUAGAUAUUUGUAGGAAUGCCGAUGGGGAAGCCAGCUUACUGGACAGAUACUGACGCUGAAGCGCGAAAGCGUGGGUAGCAAACAGGAUUAGAGACCCCCGUAGUCCCUGUCUCUUAUACC
rnacentral:rRNA from 1 species